AGUAAUAUAUCGGAACGUGCCCUAGAGUGGGGGAUAACGUAGCGAAAGUUACGCUAAUACCGCAUACGAUCUAAGGAUGAAAGCGGGGGAUCGCAAGACCUCGCGCUCGUGGAGCGGCCGAUAUCUGAUUAGCUAGUUGGUAGGGUAAAAGCCUACCAAGGCGACGAUCAGUAGCUGGUCUGAGAGGACGACCAGCCACACUGGGACUGAGACACGGCCCAG
rnacentral:rRNA from 1 species